rnacentral:rRNA from 1 species
UCCGUAGGCGGAUAGAUAAGUCAGAGGUGAAAGCCUCCCGCUCAACAGGAGAACUGCCUUUGAUACUGUUUAUCUUGAAUGAGGUUGAGGUUAGCGGAAUGUGACAUGUAGCGGUGAAAUGCAUAGAUAUGUCAUAGAACACCAAUUGCGUAGGCAGCUAGCUAGGCCUUUAUUGACGCUGAGGCACGAAAGCAUGGGGAGCGAACAGGAUUAGAUACCCUGGUAGUCC